rnacentral:lncRNA from 1 species
AAAAACAAAAAAUCACCACUAAAGUCCCUACACUUAACCAAUUAAAACCUACCAAGUCACCAAACAUAACCACUUUCAAAACAAAAAAAUACCUUCAAAGUCCCUACACUUUAUGAUUUUCCACUUACCAAGUCACCUUUAAAGUCCCUACUCUUAAUCAUUUUCAACCUACCAAAUCGCCAAACAUAACCACUUUCAAAACAAAAAAUCACCUUUAAAGUUCCUACACUUAACCAUUUUCAAUCUACCAAGGCACCAAAU